GUUUCUGCAGGUAGUGGAGUAUUGUCUAUGUCUCUCUGUGUUUCUAAAGGCCUCUAUAUAACCGGAUGGCAUUUGCAUAUGCAGAACGUUCCAUGCCUCCGCUCGUUGCCGCGGUUUGCCGACACAUAGGAGAAUCCACCCUUGCUCCCACCCCCUUCAUUAAUAUGUAUGUGUUCUGAACGGUGCUUGGUUGCUGAUUAAUGCUGUCUGUCAAUUUCUUACAGAUCCGACAGUGCUGUGGAAGUUCCCUCAGGACUUUGGAGACCAGUGUGAUGUUGCUGAUAAUGAAAUGCAGUGAGCAGGUCUUCAAUAAGCGUUGUUCUGGUAAUUAUCAGCUGGCUGUGAUGUGAAUGGGUGCGGAUGGAGCUUCAUCGUACACCCACUGCUGUACCUCACACCAGUACAGCUGUGUGUCGCUCAUGAGCUGGUACUAUAUCACACUAGUAAUGCAUAAUAGAGAGUAAUAUACCAGCCUAAACAGUCAAUAUUUGGCUGUUUUGAGAUGAUCACUUCACAUUCUACCUUGUGUCUAUUAAAAAUAAUUUAGUGAUAUUAAUAUUUUGUCUAAAGGUAUUUUUUUAUUUUAUUUUAAAAUAAAUGUAUUAAAAAUCGAACAAAAAUAAGUAUUA
rnacentral:lncRNA from 1 species